rnacentral:rRNA from 1 species
AUGGUGAGUGUUCGGGACGCCCUUCUAGGGAAACAUGGUUGGAGACUCGUCACUAGCCCUCACUCGCUAUGUGCACGGGUGCUGAAAGGGAAGUAUUUCCCGAAUACUGACUUCUGGGAGGCCUCAGCGCAUCCGCAUGCUUCGUCCACUUGGCGUGCCAUCUUGGCAGGGAGAGAGGCUCUAGGUGUUGGUAUGAUCAAAAGGAUUGGAGAUGGCACUAUGGUUUCGAUUUGGGGCGACCCUUGGAUUCCAGGGCUGCUCUCCAUGAGGCCGUCGGUGCAGAUAGGGGCCGAUGCAAUACUCAAUAUUCCCUUAAGGCGUUUGGGAGGGGAGGAUUUUUGGGCAUGGUUUGAUGCGGUAGACAGGGCAAAAAUCAUUACGGUGAUGUGGGCUAUCUGGACCUCGCGCAACAAUAUUACCCAUGACAAGGCCACUAUGGAACCAGUUCAGUCACUUAAGAUGAUCAGAGAUGCUCUUAUGGUGUUGGAGCUCCCGAGCAAGCACGCAAGUAUAUUGCCAGGCCAUGGGUGGAGACCACCAGAGGGAGAGUUGAUUAAGAUCAAUACCGACGCUGGUAUUUCUAUGCAGGAGCAUAGAGGAGGGAUUGGGGGUGUGGCUCGUUCAUCUUCAGAUUUUCUUGCUGCUUGGUGCAAACCAUGCACAAGCACUACAGAUCCUCUCGCUGCGGAGGCGACAGCUAUACGUGAAGGUGUGAUUGUGGCAACACUCCGUGGCUUUGCGCGUGUGGAGAUUGAGACAGAUAGCUUGGAGCCCACCUCUGUGCGCAACAAGCAUGCACAAAGGAGGCAACGGAGUGUUGGAUGGGCUCCCCCCGGGUUUUCUGGUCACCAGCCUUAUGGCUGA